rnacentral:rRNA from 1 species
GAUGAACGCUGGCGGCGUGCCUAAUACAUGCAAGUCGAGCGAACAGACGAGGAGCUUGCUCCUCUGACGUUAGCGGCGGACGGGUGAGUAACACGUGGAUAACCUACCUAUAAGACUGGGAUAACUUCGGGAAACCGGAGCUAAUACCGGAUAAUAUAUUGAACCGCAUGGUUCAAUAGUGAAAGACGGUUUUGCUGUCACUUAUAGAUGGAUCCGCGCCGCAUUAGCUAGUUGGUAAGGUAACGGCUUACCAAGGCAACGAUGCGUAGCCGACCUGAGAGGGUGAUCGGCCACACUGGAACUGAGACACGGUCCAGACUCCUACGGGAGGCAGCAGUAGGGAAUCUUCCGCAAUGGGCGCAAGCCUGACGGAGCAACGCCGCGUGAGUGAUGAAGGUCUUCGGAUCGUAAAACUCUGUUAUUAGGGAAGAACAAAUGUGUAAGUAACUAUGCACGUCUUGACGGUACCUAAUCAGAAAGCCACGGCUAACUCCGUG